AGAGACAGCAGUAGCCGCGGUAAUACGUAGGGGGCAAGCGUUGUCCGGAAUUAUUGGGCGUAAAGGGCUCGCAGGCGGUUUCUUAAGUCUGAUGUGAAAGCCCCCGGCUCAACCGGGGAGGGUCAUUGGAAACUGGGAAACUUGAGUGCAGAAGAGGAGAGUGGAAUUCCACGUGUAGCGGUGAAAUGCGUAGAGAUGUGGAGGAACACCAGUGGCGAAGGCGACUCUCUGGUCUGUAACUGACGCUGAGGAGCGAAAGCGUGGGGAGCGAACAGGAUUAGAGACCCUGUAGUCCCUGUCUCUUAUACA
rnacentral:rRNA from 1 species